rnacentral:rRNA from 1 species
AUGACGGUGAUCGACAUCCUCACGCGGGUGGACGUCAUCUGCCAGAAGUACGACAAGUACGACGCCGAGAAGCUCAACGGCGCCAACGUCGCCGGCGAGGACCCCUUCGCCCGCCUCUAUGGCUCCGUCGACGCCGAGAUCUCCUAUCUGCUGCUGCAGAAAGCGGAGGCGGCGAGGCAGGAGAAGAACCGGGCCACGGUCGUUGCGCUCAACACCGAGAUCCGCCGCACCAAGGCAAGCUCCUCGAGGAGGACCUGCCCAAGCUGCAGCGCCUCGCGCUCAAGAAGUACUGAGCGUAUAACUAAAAUUAAGCUUGUUGUUUUAUAUAAAUGUUCAUCUAGUUGCUGUGAGUGUAUCCUCAUCUUAAGGUUAACAUUGUUCUAUGGAAACUUUGAUGAUGAAUACUUUAAGGGGACUGAAGAAUCAAAUAAAUUUUGUCAGGAAUAUGAGAUGCGUAGAAUGAAGCAGGAUGAAGGUUUGGAUGUUAUUGGUGAAGGGCUGGCAACUCUGAAGAACAUGUCAUCGGAUAUGAAUGAGGAAUUGGAUAGGCAAGUUCCCUUGAUGGAUGAAAUGGAUGACAAGGUGGAUAGAGCCAAUGCAGAUCUGAAGAAUACCAACGUGAGGCUAAAGCAGACCAUUCUUCAGGUAAAAGUUCACUCUUCUCCCUGUAUCAUACUUAUAUCACCGCCUACCUUUACAAGUAAGUAA